GUCUUUUUGAAAUUUUUUUAAAGUCUAACCUGCCCACUGAAAAUUUUAAAUGGCCGCAGUAUACUAACUGUGCAAAGGUAGCAUAAUCAUUAGUCUUUUAAUUGAAGGCUGGUAUGAAUGGUUGGACGAGAUAUUAACUGUUUCAUGAAAAUUUAUAAUAGAAUUUUAUUUUUUAGUCAAAAAGCUAAAAUAAAUUUAAAAGACGAGAAGACCCUAUAAAUCUUUAUAUUUAAGUUAUUAUAAUUUUUUAGAUUAAUUUUAUUUUUAUAACUAAUAAUAUUUUAUUGGGGUGAUAUUAAAAUUUAAAAAACUUUUAAUUUUUUUUUACAUAAAUUAAUGAAUAUUUGAUCCGUUAUUAAUGAUUAAAAAAUUAAGUUACUUUAGGGAUAACAGCGUAAUUUUUUUGAAGAGUUCUUAUCGAUAAAAAAGAUUGCGACCUCGAUGUUGGAUUAAGAGAUAAUUUUAGGUGUAGCCGCUUAAAUUUUAAGUCUGUUCGACUUUUAAAUUCUUACGUG
rnacentral:rRNA from 1 species